rnacentral:piRNA from 1 species
UGCCACAAAGAGUGUGUUUGGUCAGU